GUCCUCGCCUCGCUGGGCUCAGCACCCCGGCCGCCGGCAGGACGGAGGCUCGGGUCCGAAGCAGUGGCUGCACCGACACGAACCCGUCUGCGUUUGUCCACCUGUCUUCCCUCGCCAUCUGCAUCUAAUAUGGUCUCUAAAUGCCUCGCUUUGUACUUUGUGGCUUUCUGGCAGCCCUUUAAAGCAGCGGAGAAAAAGGAGAGAGUCAAGACACGGGAGAAAAUGUUUCAUCCCGGGUUCUUCUAGUGGUGCCCGCCUUGACACAACUCAGGGGGGCUGCCUAAGCAAAAGGUGGAAAAGAUGGAGCUGGAAGACAAAGACGGUUCCGGAUUCCAAAACUUCAAUGGCGUCGCCAAAUUGACGAGCUCAUUAACCUUUGGAGUAUUAUUAUUUAAAAAGUAGGAAAUAAAAGAUAAAUGUAGAAAUAUUUAAUAAAAGAAAAACGUAAGCUCUCAGACAAUUUUCUUUAUUACUUUUUUUUUUGAGACGGAGUCUCGCUCUGUCGCCCAGUGGCAUGAUCUUGGCUCACUGCAAGCUCCGCCUCCCGGGUUUACGCCAUUCUCCUGGCUCAGCCUCCCGAGUAGCUGGGACUACAGGCGCCCGCCACCACGUCCGGCUAAUUUUUUCUAUUUUUUGGUAGAGACGGGGUUUCACCGUGUUAGCCAGGAUGGUCUCGAUCUCCUGACCUCGUGAUCCGCCCGCCUCGG
rnacentral:lncRNA from 1 species